rnacentral:lncRNA from 1 species
AAUCCAAGUACCCCAUCAUCAAGUUGUUUUACAGUGUGUGUUUAUAUUCUCAUAAUCAAGUGAUUUAUUUGGGUUGGUGCUUCGAUAUCUCUAUGUGUUUAUGCAUAUGAGGAUAUAAAUAGCAUUUCAUGGUAAAUGGUGUCAUUUAUUGGAAUUAAUGUAACUACAUCAUAAAUGGAGGAGACUGGAACUUGUAUGUGCAAAAGAGAGUGUACUGCAUGCAUCUUUUAGCCUAGUUAAUUGAAAAAAUCUAUUAAUUUUAUAAUUGAACUUUUACGUUGCAUUUUUUUCUUAUUAGGAUGGUUCGAAGUGUCUAGAAGUCGACACAUUUGAGUUCGCUUAUGCUAGGAAGAACAAGUAUUGGACUUGUAAUGCAGCUAAAGCUCAACAUGUAAGAAAUACUCAACAUUAUAAAAUUGUUUUUUUUUAUCGUGUUUUAUCUACCAUUUUAGACACAAAAUAUAUAUUGCAAAGUUAAAUUAAAAAAGGCUAGAAAAUUCCAAUUAGAUUAAGUAGGAUGACAAUUUUUGUAUGUUAUUCAUGGGGCUAUUUCGGAAACUGACACUAUCAUGGUCAAAAUGUUUUUGAGAGAUGAUUAUAUUUCUUAGCUUGUGCUAUGUCUCUUGUGUACAGUUGUGUUAUCUCUUGCAAACUUUGAUUUUAUGGACUGUUUUAUAUAUCUUGUUGGUUAUAUUUGUAGGAUGAAAUGCUUGUCAAAAAGCAUGAAUAUCUUAUAGAGAGGCAAAGGAUUAGCAACUUCCUAAAGAUAUCCCUUUGGAGGAGAUACCGAUAGAUGAUCCUGAUGCCGAAAUUGAUAUCAUGAUGUUCGUUCUAGGUAUGAAGCCCAGGCGCUAAAUUCUUGGGUUAGAAGAUGGUCGCCUUUGAGAUAUUAGGAUAUCUUCUUCCAAUGUACACAAUUUGGGGAAGAGUUGGAAGCAGAACAUGUUGCUCGAAAGGUAGUUGAUGUAGCUCAAGUAAACAUGGAGCAAAAUAUGCAAAAUAAGCUAAAGGUUGUUGAGCAACAAUUCAAUUCUAUAUUAUAAUCUUGGAAUCAUUCUAUGCACUGACUAUGUGAUAAAGUUCCUGACUUCAUUGUACCACCAUUUAUACCAUUGUCAAUAGAGAAUAAUGGUAAUGAGAAAGAUGAUACUAUUGAGGAUGAAGAGAAUAACUUUGAUGAGAAUCAGUGCAUGUCUAAUUCACGAGAUUGAAGAGUCAUGUUUUUUAUUUGCAUAACAAUGGAUAUAUAGCAUGUUUGCUCUGCUUAUUUUAACUUUAAAUGUAAUCAUACUUGGUGAAACUCGUUUAUUCGUGUUUUGAUGAAAUAUUUUGGAUUCAAUGCUGAUUGGCAUUACGUUUUAAUUGAUUUAUUAU